ACUUAUUGUUAUAAUUUGUGUGUAUAUGUUAUAUAUUUUUUUCCAAUAAAAUACUUUAAUGUUCGGAGCACAAUGAUGACAAAAUUUUGGCCACAUAUACCUCUUCCACCAACAUGAGAAUGAAGGUUGAGGCCUGCAUCCCAAUAUUUUUUAUUAUGAAUAAAUUGUUUUUAAAUUAUUGGUUAAAUAUAGCUUUUUUAACUCACUAGACAUCCGUUAAUAAAUAAAGCACAAAACCCAGCUUCUUUCUAUGCAUAUAUGUUCAUCACUCUUUAACAGCUAUUAAUUAUUAAUAUUAUAUACUAAUCAUAUUACUGUAUUAGUAAAAAGUUAAGUCAUAUUGCGAUUAUCGUUUUAAAAUUGUCUUCCAAACCCUUCAGUCUGAG
rnacentral:lncRNA from 1 species